rnacentral:rRNA from 1 species
AUGGAGAUGGAGACGGGGAGCACAUCCGUCCACAAGAAAGAAAGAGAGAGGAUGGAGCGUCGCUACCCGGGCCGGGCCGGGCCUCCAUGCCGCCUAGCCCAGCCACCCCAUCUCAGCCCGGCCCAGCACAAACACAGGCCACAAGCCCACACAAAGCCUAGUUCUCACAAGAAAAAAAACCUUGCCAGAUUUCUCCCCACCUUCCUCCCUUCCUCCCUUCCUCGGCCGCCGCCGCCCGCCGACCGACCGGCGAUGGAUCCGGUGGAGGUGGUGAUGGGCGCGUACGGCGGCCCGGCGCGGCGCGUCGAGAGCGGGGCGUCGGAGACGAUGCUGCUGUGGGGCCUGGGUCAGCCGGCGUCGCACCGCCCCAACGCCUUCGCGCGCCAGGGCUUGCCGGCCUUCCCCAUCGACGCGUGCGGCCGCCGCCUGACGCUCCACCAGCAGCCGUCCUCCUUCCGGGGCGCCUCGGGGGUCACGGGCGCCGUCGUCUGGGACAGCGCCGUCGUGCUCGCCAAGUUCCUCGAGCACGCGGCCGACGCGGGGCUCCUGCCGGUGCGCGGGGCGCGCGCCGUGGACCUCGGCGCCGGCUGCGGGCUCGUGUCCGUCGUCGCCGCGCUGCUGGGCGCGCGCGUCGUGGCCACCGACCUGCCCGACCGCGUCCGGCUGCUGCGCAAGAACCUCGAGGAAAACGUCUGUAAUGGGGAUGGGGAUGGCGGGUCGGCGACGGUGGCGGAGCUGGUGUGGGGCGACGAGUACGAGCUGGACCCGGAGCUGCUGCUCUGGCUGGACACGGAGGCAGAGCCGCCGGAGCUGGUGCUGGGGUCGGACGUGGUGUACAGCGAGGAGGCCGUCGGCGACCUGCUGGCGACGCUCUGCCGGCUCGCCGGGCCGCGCACCACCGUGCUGCUCGCCGGAGAGCUCCGCAACGACGUGGUGGUGGAGUGCUUCCUGGAGGCGGCCAUGGCGGAGUUCGAGGUCGGGUGCAUCGAGCAGGAGCAGUGGCACCCCGACUUCCGCACCAACCGCGUCGCCAUCUUCAUCCUCCUCAGGAAGACGCCGCCGCCGCCGCUCCCCGUCUCAACGCCAUAG